CUAUGGCACACUCGUGCCUUAUGUGCCACCGAAGCCCCGAAGUGGUCUGGCAUAUACCUUCACAUGUUUCCCUUCAGUAGGAAAUUGCUGGACAGGCGGACCAGCGCACCGGAAUUGUACUGGCGAAGCCACAAGCAACUCAAAGAAUCUGUUUAAUUGUUGCACUUUGAACAAUCAUGCUUCUACAAAGGCCACAGCAGAUCAACAGCCUGAUGCCGAGUAUUUCUGUGCCACGAAGUAAUCAAGAGGCGAGUGCCUAAUGCGGACGAAAUCGAGUGCAUCGAGACUUAGAACGACAGAAAGCUGAGCUAGUUGACAAUGCCUACGCCUAGCCACAGCAGCUCCCUCAUACAGACUCCGCAAGCCAAGAGGCCGUGGAGGCAAAUGCAG